AAAGUCGUAACAAGGUCUCCGUAGGUGAACCUGCGGAGGGAUCAUUACACAACAAAAAUAUGAGGGUGUGGUUUGCUGGCAACAGCGUCCGCCCCAAGUAUUUUUCACCCAUGUCUUUUGCGCACUUUUUGUUUCCUGGGCGAGUUCGCUCGCCACCAGGACCCAACCAUAAACCUUUUUUUAUGCAGUUGCAAUCAGCGUCAGUAUAAUAAUUCAAUUUAUUAAAACUUUCAACAACGGAUCUCUUGGUUCUGGCAUCGAUGAAGAACGCAGCGAAAUGCGAUACGUAGUGUGAAUUGCAGAAUUCAGUGAAUCAUCGAAUCUUUGAACGCACAUUGCGCCCUUUGGUAUUCCAAAGGGCAUGCCUGUUCGAGCGUCAUUUGUACCCUCAAGCUUUGCUUGGUGUUGGGCGUCUUUUUGUCUCUGCCCUUGUUUAGGGGGGAGACUCGCCUUAAAACGAUUGGCAGCCGACCUACUGGUUUUCGGAGCGCAGCACAAAUUUGCGCCUUCCAAUCCACGGGGCGGCAUCCAGCAAGCCUUUGUUUUGUAUAACAAAUCCACAUUUUGACCUCGGAUCAGGUAGGGAUACCCGCUGAACUUAAGCAUAUCAAUAGC
rnacentral:rRNA from 1 species